GAAAACAGAACAGUUCUCUCCUGGAGUCCAUAUCAACAUUAGUGUUUAUGAUCUAAAUGUUUGAUCAGGACACCCUAAUUGUGUAACCGCUUUUAAAGAUUUGUUUGUUCAAAAAUUAAAAUCCUACAUGAUCUGAGUUCAGACCAGAGUAACCCAGGUU
rnacentral:ncRNA from 1 species